rnacentral:rRNA from 1 species
GAUGAACGCUGGCGGCGUGCCUAAUACAUGCAAGUCGGGCGAACGGACGGGAAGCUUGCUUCUCUGAUGUUAGCGGCGGACGGGUGAGUAACACGUGGAUAACCUACCUAUAAGACUGGGAUAACUUCGGGAAACCGGAGCUAAUACCGGAUGAUAUUUUGAACCGCAUGGUUCAAAAGUGAAAGACGGUCUUGCUGUCACUUAUAGAUGGAUCCGCGCUGCAUUAGCUAGUUGGUAAGGUAACGGCUUACCAAGGCAACGAUGCAUAGCCGACCUGAGAGGGUGAUCGGCCACACUGGAACUGAGACACGGUCCAGACUCCUACGGGAGGCAGCAGUAGGGAAUCUUCCGCAAUGGGCGAAAGCCUGACGGAGCAACGCCGCGUGAGUGAUGAAGGUCUUCGGAUCGUAAAACUCUGUUAUUAGGGAAGAACAUAUGUGUAAGUAACUGUGCACAUCUUGACGGUACCUAAUCAGAAAGCCACGGCUAACUACGUG